GACGAACGCUGGCGGCGUGCCUAAUACAUGCAAGUCGAACGCAGUGGGGACGGGUGAGUAACACGUGGGUAAACUCCCAUCAGAGGGGAUAACACUUGGAAACAGGUGCUAAAUCGAUACGGAUGGAUGGACCCGCGUUGCAUUUGCUAGUUGGUGAGGUAACGGCGCACCAAGGCCACGAUGCAUAGCCGACCAGAGUGGGUGACCGUCCACACUGGGACGGCGUAACGGCCCCGACUCCUACGUGAGGCGGAAGUGGGGAAUCUUCGGCAAUGGACUAAAGUAUGACCGAGCAACGCCGCAUGAGUGAAGAAGGUUUUCGGAGCGUAAAACUCUGUUGUUAGGGAAGCGGUAUCUAACCAGAAAGCCACGGCUAACUACGUGCCAGCAGCCGCGGUAAUUC
rnacentral:rRNA from 1 species